UACAUGGGGUGCAAACGUUGCUCGGAAUUAUUGGGCGUAAAGCGCGCGUAGGCGGAUCGUUAAGUCGGGGGUGAAAUCCUGGAGCUCAACUCCAGAACUGCCUUCGAUACUGGCGAUCUUGAGUCCGGAAGAGGUGAGUGGAACUCCUAGUGUAGAGGUGGAAUUCGUAGAUAUUAGGAAGAACACCAGUGGCGAAGGCGGCUCACUGGUCCGGUACUGACGCUGAGGUGCGAAAGCGUGGGGAGCAAACAGG
rnacentral:rRNA from 1 species